UAUGAGUUCGAUUCUGGCUCAGGAUGAACGCUGGCGGGAUUCUUCACACAUGCAAGUCGAACGGAGUUCUUAGGAAAUAAGUUGCCGACGCGAGAGCCUUCCUCCCGCAUCCGGCAAAAGUUUGGGAGCCACAGUCCCAAAGGGGAAAAUACCCCGGAUGUGCCUGCGGGAGGAAUAUUAAUCGCCUUUCAGUGAGCAGUCGUUUGGUCAUCCUGUAGGUCCAUAAGAGCGCACCUAGGCGGCGAUCAGUAUACCACACGAGAGGAUGACCCACCACCGAGCUCAUCAAAAGCGGCCCAGACUCCACCGGGAGGCAGCUGUGGGGAAUUUUCCGCAAUGGGCGAAAGCCUGACGGAGCAAUGCCAGAUUAGGGAGGAAGGCUCUCCCGUUGUAACCCUCUUUUCCCAAGGAAUAAGAAAGUGAAGCAUCCGGAAAACACACCACCAGCGUUCACCGUGACCCCAGACCCGGCAAU
rnacentral:rRNA from 1 species